GCCUCCGUAGCUCAUUGGAAGAGCAUCCGCCUCUUAAGCGGACGGCGAGGGUUCGAAUCCCUCCGGAGGUAC
rnacentral:tRNA from 1 species